rnacentral:rRNA from 1 species
UCGAUCUGGCUCAGGAUGAACGCUAGCGACAGGCUUAACACAUGCAAGUCGAGGGGCAUCACGGGAGUAGCAAUACAACUGGUGGCGACCGGCGCACGGGUGAGUAACGCGUAUGCAACCUACCUAUCAGAGGGGAAUAACCCGGCGAAAGUCGGACUAAUACCGCAUAAAACAGGGGCACCGCAUGGUGAUAUUUGUUAAAGAAAUUCGCUGAUAGAUGGGCAUGCGUUCCAUUAGGUAGUUGGUGAGGUAACGGCUCACCAAGCCGACGAUGGAUAGGGGAACUGAGAGGUUGGUCCCCCACACUGGUACUGAGACACGGACCAGACUCCUACGGGAGGCAGCAGUGAGGAAUAUUGGUCAAUGGGCGGGAGCCUGAACCAGCCAAGUCGCGUGAAGGAAAAGAAGGAUCUAUGGUUCGUAAACUUCUUUUGCAGGGGAAUAAAGUGCAGGACGUGUCCUGUUUUGUAUGUACCCUGAGAAUAAGGAUCGGCUAACUCCGUGCCAGCAGCUGC